rnacentral:misc_RNA from 1 species
UCCGGCUUCCCGCCGGCAGUCUCCCGAGAGUCCCCGCCAUGACGCGCUGGCAACACGGGAUAGGGGUCGCGCUCGUUGCGGGACUUAACCCAACAUCUCACGACACGAGCUGACGACAGCCAUGCAGCACCUGUAUCUCGGUUCCCGAAGGCACCAAUCCAUCUCUGGAAAGUUCCGAGUAUGUCAAGGGCAGGUAAGGUUCUUCGCGUUGCAUCGAAUUAAACCACAUGCUCCACCGCUUGUGCAGGCCCCCGUCAAUUUCUUUGAGUUUUAACCUUGCGGCCGUACUCCCCAGGCGGAUGACUUAACGCGUUAGCUUCGCCACCCAAGCACUAAGUGCCCGGACAGCUAGUCAUCAUCGUUUACGGCGUGGACUAC